AGAGUUUGAUCAUGGCUCAGGAUGAACGCUGGCGGCGUGCUUAACACAUGCAAGUCGAACGAACCUUCGGGUUAGUGGCGGACGGGUGAGUAACGCGUGAGAAUCUGCCCUCAGGAGGGGGAUAACGGUUGGAAACGACCGCUAAUACCCCAUAUGCCUAUUGGUGAAAUGAAUUUCGCCUGAGGAUGAGCUCGCGUCUGAUUAGCUAGUUGGUGAGGUAAUGGCUCACCAAGGCUUCGAUCAGUAGCUGGUCUGAGAGGAUGAUCAGCCACACUGGGACUGAGACACGGCCCAGACUCCUACGGGAGGCAGCAGUGGGGAAUUUUCCGCAAUGGGCGAAAGCCUGACGGAGCAACGCCGCGUGAGGGACGAAGGCCUCUGGGCUGUAAACCUCUUUUCUCAAGGAAGAAGAUAUGACGGUACUUGAGGAAUAAGCCACGGCUAAUUCCGUGCCAGCAGCCGCGGU
rnacentral:rRNA from 1 species